rnacentral:lncRNA from 1 species
CACAAACAGAAGCAUUCAUAUAGAUCUGCCCAUCUGAAAAAGGAUUUAGCAAAGGACAUUUCUCCUUGCAAUGGGACAGCUGAAGAGGUGUAAUUUAACAGCUCUCAGAGGCCGUCACUGUGGUGAUUGAGGUGGACAGAAGGCAUGGACAUGACCAAGGCCCUUAAAAGACACAAACAGGUGGGAGAGUGUGCUGGGGGUGGGCAGAGGGCUGCAGAGGACAAAAAGGAGGAGGCUCGCCUUCGGAGAGCAGAGACGGGAGAAGGCAGACAGCGAGACUGCCCGAGGAACGGGAGGAGAGGGGAGGACAGGAGAUCCGAAGCUAAAAGCUCGGUCACAUCUAGACAGGACACAAUAUGAGGUAAAGCUAGAAUGAAGGACAGGAUUAAAAGAAGGGAAGAGAAAUGAGCGGACAGGGCACAGAGAGGGAGAAAUGACAGACAAUCAGGAAAGGGAACGUGCAUAAAGGAAAGACAAAGAUGAUUUCUCCAUGUGUGACCAGAAGGAGGGCGGUUAAAAAGAAAGAGAAAGGAGUAACAGGGAAAAGGGUCUUAAGACGGAGACAAAAGAAGCAAGCAGUGCACAAGUCCUAGUUAAAUGCUUAGAAAAUCACCAGGCUGUCGGGCUGAGCUGGAAGACGAGCCCUAGCCGUACCCAAGAGGGGACCAUCAGAAAGACGGAGGCAGGCAAUUUAAGUAGCUGGUUACUAGGUAAAAAUGAAAAAAAAAAUUGAAGAAGGAAAAGGUGAGAAGCAGAAGAGGGAAAACCCAAAGGACACACUGGCCCAGAAACCUUUUUAACUUUCUGUAAGAAUCUUCAAGGCCCCAAACUAGGCCAAGAUUCUGACUGACAUUUCUGAGCUCACCAGCUGCUGUUUCCUUGAGAGAAUUCUGACAGGAAGGCAUAGAAACGCAAGCCAACACUGCCAGCGCCGAAAAAAAAUAAAUAAAUAACAACCGUGCUCUGAGCACCUCAAUGGGGCCGAAACCUGUCGGAGAAGGCACACAGCUGAGAAGGACCGCCUGCAACUUUUCCCCAGGUCUGAGAGUGAACCAGGGAUUGUCGAGCAUCCCCAGGACAUCUACAGAUCAGACUCACCCCAAAGGGAAUGACAAGAGCCCUCUGUCAUCACAAAAGCGUCUCACCAGGAGCUCUCAAAGCUAUGCUGUACAAGGUGUCUUAUUAUUUUAUGGACACAACCCACACAAAGCAAUCUCCUUAUAGUGACAGCCUGUGAAGCAGAUAUUACACGUCACAAAGGGGAGGUUCUUCUCUGACCUCAUUUGGGGAUGGAACUUUUAACUAAAAUGGUGUCACCCCUAAAACCACUCCGACACGCC